UACGAAGGGGGCUAGCGUUGUUCGGAAUCACUGGGCGUAAAGGGCGCGUAGGCGGCACACAUAGUCAGGCGUGAAAUUCCUGGGCUUAACCUGGGGGCUGCGUUUGAUACAUGUGAGCUAGAGGAUGGAAGAGGCUCGUGGAAUUCCCAGUGUAGAGGUGAAAUUCGUAGAUAUUGGGAAGAACACCGGUGGCGAAGGCGGCGAGCUGGUCCAUUACUGACGCUGAGGCGCGAAAGCUAGGGGAGCGAACGGG
rnacentral:rRNA from 1 species